rnacentral:rRNA from 1 species
GGCGGCGUGCCUAAUACAUGCAAGUCGAGCGGACAGAAGGGAGCUUGCUCCCGGAUGUUAGCGGCGGACGGGUGAGUAACACGUGGGUAACCUGCCUGUAAGACUGGGAUAACUCCGGGAAACCGGAGCUAAUACCGGAUAGUUCCUUGAACCGCAUGGUUCAAGGAUGAAAGACGGUUUCGGCUGUCACUUACAGAUGGACCCGCGGCGCAUUAGCUAGUUGGUGGGGUAAUGGCUCACCAAGGCGACGAUGCGUAGCCGACCUGAGAGGGUGAUCGGCCACACUGGGACUGAGACACGGCCCAGACUCCUACGGGAGGCAGCAGUAGGGAAUCUUCCGCAAUGGACGAAAGUCUGACGGAGCAACGCCGCGUGAGUGAUGAAGGUUUUCGGAUCGUAAAGCUCUGUUGUUAGGGAAGAACAAGUGCGAGAGUAACUGCUCGCACCUUGACGGUACCUAACCAGAAAGCCACGGCUAACUACGUGCCAGCA